rnacentral:rRNA from 1 species
UACGUAGGCAGCAAGCGUUGUUCGGAGUUACUGGGCGUAAAGAGUGCGUAGGUGGUGCCCUAAGUCUGUUGUGAAAUCUCCCGGCUUAACUGGGAGGGUGCGGUGGAAACUGGGGUGCUUGAGUGUGGGAGAGGUAAGCGGAAUUCCUGGUGUAGCGGUGAAAUGCGUAGAUAUCAGGAGGAACACCGGUGGUGUAGACGGCUUACUGGACCACGACUGACACUGAGACACGAAAGCGUGGGUAGCAAACAGG